rnacentral:misc_RNA from 1 species
GAUCAUUACCGAGUUGAGGGCCCUCUGGGUCCAACCUCCCACCCGUGUCUAUCGUACCUUGUUGCUUCGGCGGGCCCGCCGUUUCGACGGCCGCCGGGGAGGCCUUGCGCCCCCGGGCCCGCGCCCGCCGAAGACCCCAACAUGAACGCUGUUCUGAAAGUAUGCAGUCUGAGUUGAUUAUCGUAAUCAGUUAAAACUUUCAACAACGGAUCUCUUGGUUCCGGCAUCGAUGAAGAACGCAGCGAAAUGCGAUAAGUAAUGUGAAUUGCAGAAUUCAGUGAAUCAUCGAGUCUUUGAACGCACAUUGCGCCCCCUGGUAUUCCGGGGGGCAUGCCUGUCCGAGCGUCAUUGCUGCCCUCAAGCACGGCUUGUGUGUUGGGCCCCCGUCCCCCUCUCCCGGGGGACGGGCCCGAAAGGCAGCGGCGGCACCGCGUCCGGUCCUCGAGCGUAUGGGGCUUUGUCACCUGCUCUGUAGGCCCGGCCGGCGCCAGCCGACACCCAACUUUAUUUUUCUAAGGUUGACCUCGGAUCAGGUAGGGAUACCCGCUGAACUUAA